CGGAAAAACAAAUCAAAUUUAAAGGUCAUUAAAUAUGGACCUUUAAAGUUUAUUUGAUGGUAAAUUAAAAGCUGAAAUUUCGAAGCGUAAAGAGAAAAUGCUGCAUUUAUGGAUAAUAUACUAAACUGGUAGGUAUAAGCUUUUGAAUAUAUAUAUUUGUGUUUACUUUUACAGUAGUUAAUGGUUUUAUUCCGUUUUGAUGAGCAAAUUGCUAUUAUCAAAUUUUUGUUACAAGUCACCCAUUCUUUCAAAGUUGUUAUCUAAUAUAAAUAGUUCACCACCAUUUACUCUGCUCAAUGGUAGUGCUUAGAUUAGCUUGACUGUCAAUACUUUGUUUCCAAUUCAUCCAUUCUCUAAAAUAUUUCUCUCAAAGUCAGUUUAAACUGUUGAAAUCUUAAAACACACAGUCUGUAGUUCAUUCAGAAAGAACAACCGUCAUCCAUUUAAUAUGGUAUUACAAUGGCAGGGCUGCUGAGAGGUUUCCAGAGGCCAGGGGCAAAACUUUCCCGAGGGGCCUAUUGUACAUCCUUUCCAUGACUUUCUGUGAGGCACAUUGAGGCCCCUAUGUUGUCAUAGCACAAUAUAUUAUUCAAAAUGUUUAGGAACGAACUUUCCCUAAGUCUCAUGUUAAGUCAAUAUACAAGCAGUACAUGUUUUAUCAGUCUCAUGUUAAGUCUUACUGUGGUCUAUAUAUUGAACACAAAAUACAAUAUAUUAUGCAUACAGUAUAUUAUGUCUCUAGCUCUGAAAGUAAAGGGGAAGAUGAUGAAGAGAGCAUGCUAGAGAAGGAGGGGGGGGGGGGG